GUCGGGCGGUCUUGGCCGAUCCAUCAGCUGGAUGUCAAGAACACCUUCCUCCACGGGCACCUCGCGGAGACGGUCUACAGCACGCAACCGUCCGGCUUCGUCGACGCUACCUCGCCCUCUCACGUGUGCCGGCUGAACCGUUCUCUUUACGGUCUCAAGCAGGCGCCGCGGGCGUGGUUCUCGCGCUUCACCACCUACUUACGGACGCUUGGCUUCCAUGCGUCUCGGUCGGACACGUCCCUCUUCAUCCUUCGGCGAGGCGAUCAUCUCGCCUACCUGCUGCUCUACGUGGACGACAUCAUGCUCACCGCCAGCUCCGCCACCGUCCUCGACUCCGUCAUCCGGGCGCUCCAUCGUGAGUUCUCGAUGACGGACCUUGGCGCCCUGCAUCACUUCCUCGGCAUCAACGUCACCACGACCGCACGUGGACUGUUUCUCUCUCAGGAACAGUACGCGUUGGAGAUCCUCGACCGCGCCGGGAUGCUGAACUGCAAGCCCAUCUCCACGCCCGUCGACACGCUCGCCAAGCUCUCCACCGACUCCGGACCGCUCUUCCACGACCCGUCGUUGUACCGCAGCUUGGCUGGGGCGCUCCAGUACAUCACGCUGACUCGCCCCGACCUCUCCUACGCCGUUCAGCAGUGUUGUCUCUUCAUGCAUGCACCGCGAGAUUGCCACUUCCAGCUCGUGAAGCGCAUCCUUCGGUAUCUGCGUGGGACGACACACCUUGGUCUUCGGAUCCAUCGAGACGCCUCCACGGAGCUUGUUGCCUACUCCGAUGCUGACUGGGCUGGCUGCCCCGACACGCGCAAGUCCACCUCGGGCUUCUGCGUCUUCCUCGGGGGCAACCUACUCACGUGGUCGUCCAAGCGACAGACUACCGUUUCCCGAUCCAGCGCCGAGGCGGAGUACAGGGCGGUCGCCAACGCCGUCGCCGAGGCGGUCUGGCUACGCCAGCUUCUUGGCGAGCUUCACCAACCCCCCACGCGCGCCACGGUGGUCUACUGCGACAACAUCAGCGCCAUGUACAUGUCGAGCAACCCGGUGCAGCACCAACGCACAAAGCACAUCGAGAUCGAUCUUCACUUUGUGCGUGAGCGUGUCGCGCUUGGCGAGAUACGGGUGCUUCACGUACCCACGAGCUCACAGUUUGCUGACAUAUUCACUAAGGGUCUGCCGACAAGCGUCUUCAACGACUUCCGGUCCAACCUCAACGUCGGGGAGCCC
rnacentral:rRNA from 1 species